rnacentral:rRNA from 1 species
GUGCCAGCAGCCGCGGUAACACGUAGGGCGCAAGCGUUGUCCGGAAUUAUUGGGCGUAAAGAGCUCGUAGGUGGUUUGUUACGUCCGCUGUGAAAACCUAGGGCUUAACCCUGGGCUUGCAGUGGAUACGGGCAGACUAGAGGUAGGUAGGGGAGAAUGGAAUUCCUGGUGUAGCGGUGAAAUGCGCAGAUAUCAGGAGGAACACCGGUGGCGAAGGCGGUUCUCUGGGCCUUACCUGACACUGAGGAGCGAAAGCGUGGGGAGCGAACAGGAUUAGAUACCCUGGUAGUCC